rnacentral:rRNA from 1 species
AUGAGGCAGAGCAGGUGCCAGGAAAAUCUUCGUUUGCUACACGGCUCGCUCAUGCGACCAAGGAAUUUGUCUCCUCUUUCAUUGCCUGUGAAGGUGAUCAUUGCUCAGGCAGCAUCGCCGCCGCCGUUCGAAGAUUCGAGAGGUUUGCUGAUGGUGCUACAGAGUUUUCGAUGUGUGCAACUCGGUGGAACACCUCAACAGCCCCUGUUCUUCGACCCUCUCAUCAGGCAUAUCUUCACAGGCAAAACGCUGCGGUAUAUGGUGAUGCAUCCAGGAGGCCAGUAUCAAUACUUCAGCAUACCUCCUAUGGCCUUUGAGGAGCAUGGACUGGAGGCCAUGCUAUCCUUCAUAUAUGAAGACUUAGAAACACCCAAGAACAGUUUUCGCCUUGGGUUCAUGCUGCGUUUUUCAGAGAGUACAGACAUUAUCGGAACUACAGUCAAGUGCUUGCGACUGGUGACAUCUCACUUCAAGUCCACGGCCGACGCUGUGAUCAAAGGUAUCAUCCAACUCCCUACCCAUGUUUUUUCCUGUUUACCACCAGAGGCUGAGAGCGCGAACAUGGAAUACUGGAACCAGAUCCACAAAACUUUUACUGGAUGGUUUCAUCCAGAUCCAUUAUGUUGUCAAGGAUACAAACAGGAGGUCGUGCCUUCGCAUGUCGGUAACUGCGGGAACAAACGUAAAAUCGCUCUACUCGAUCAUAAGAACCUACAGCUACAUGGAUCAACUGCGGGGUAUGAUCUUUCUUCUCUGGAGAAUACCCCACUUCUGAAGCUGGGAAUUCUGUUCAUGCCUCAUGAUUCUCUGGAGAACCCCAAGUCCAGCGGCGAGGGCUCUGCGAUAGAGGUGAUUGAUGAAGAGAAGCAACAUCUCACACAUGCAAAUGUUCAUCCGGACCAACUUGAUGAGAUAUUGCUGUCCAAGGCUAGAUUAUCUUCAUCAUAA